GCACUGGGUAAAAUCCUGUAUGUGUAGCAAGUGAGGGUUGCUUUGAAGUGACCACUUUGAAGUGGAUCAAGCCAGGAGUUGCAGAACUGAAGAUCCUGAUUUGGACUGAGUUCACAGCCAAGGCUGACCACAAGUGAACCUUCUUCUGAAAAAACCUUCAGGAAGAUGUUCGGAGACGGCAGCAGACCCGCAGAGCUGGCCAGAGCAAGCUGGACACUUUCACAAGGUACUUUUGUCUUUUCCCUUCCUGAUGAACCAGCCCUUCGUAGUUUGUGGCGGUUGGUAUGGCAGACACAUGCCUUGGAAGAAGAGGUUCAGUUCUCCCCUUCAGAGGAGAAACUUAUUGCCCUCUGGCAAAAAUGGUGUAGAGAAGAUGGGAUUUUUCUGUCAGCAAAAACAUCUCCAUGAGUUCUUUCGAUGGGCAAAGCUUUUUGGGUUCUUUACUGAUGUCCUGUACGCCUUGGAUGUUUUUGUCUGGGAGUGCAUGAAUUCCAUUUUCCAGUCCGUCUGGGGCCAGGAACGUCUUUUGCCUUCUAUCUACCCAGCAUUUAUAAAGCUCUUCCGAGUUUUGAAACGGAGAGCAGCUAUUUUUCAAUGGAUUUCUAACUGUUAUGGACAGGCUCCGUUUCCACCGUCCCCGGUGGGAGAAGACCCGGCGGGGGAUGAGUGGGGGCUUCCCAGCCCCCUGUCCCCAGUGGGAGAAGACCCGGCGGGGGAUGAGUGGGGGCUGCCCAGCCCCCCCUGCUCCGCGGCGGGGGGGGGCGAAACUGCGCCGAGCGAAGAAGUUUUUUUUACUCUUUCUCCGGAGCCUGCGCAGACGGAACCUUCUCCGUCCCCCCCUUCUCUCUCUCCGGGGGCAUGGGAGUGGGUGGUCCCGCUCGAACCAGUGCCGUUGGUGCCGCCCCUGCCAGCGCUGCGUCCGCCUUCAAGACCCGCCUCACCAGCGCGGCCGCCUCUCCAGGCCAUCCCGUCUCCGCCUCUCCAGGCAGUCCUGCCCACGGCUUCACAGGCCUCCCCGCCCCUGCCAGCGCCUGCGUCUGAGAAUGCAGAAGAGGCACUUCCUGUGGCUGCUGAGUUGCUAAGCGACGACGACGCGUCUCCAGCUUCCGGCUCAGCGGAGCAGUUGUUCUCUCCGGCCCCUCCAGCCCCUCUGCCGUUUCCAUCGGCUUCCUCGCCGCCUCAGGCCGAGACGGUUCCUGUUCAGGAUGGUGCUGGAGAUGGCGCCGAACCUGCGGGACCCUUGGAAAAGCCUGCGGCCGCUCCUAC
rnacentral:lncRNA from 1 species